UACGGGGGGUGCGAGCGUUGUCCGGAUUCACUGGGUUUAAAGGGUGUGUAGGCGGGCUGUUAAGUCAGUGGUGAAAUCUCCAGGCUCAACCUGGAAACUGCCGUUGAUACUAUCAGUCUUGAAUCCUGUUGAGGUGGGCGGAAUAUAUCAUGUAGCGGUGAAAUGCUUAGAUAUGAUAUAGAACACCGAUUGCGUAGGCAGCUAACUAGGCUGUAACUGACGCUGAGGCACGAAAGCGUGGGGAGCGAACAGG
rnacentral:rRNA from 1 species